rnacentral:rRNA from 1 species
UACGGAAGGCAGCAGUGGGGAAUAUUGCACAAUGGGCGAAAGCCUGAUGCAGCUAUGCCGCGUGUAUGAAGAAGGCCUUAGGGUUGUAAAGUACUUUCAUCGGGGAGGAAAAACAAAACUAAUAAUUUUAUUUCUUGACGUUACCCGAAAAAGAAGCACCGGCUAACUCCGUGCCAGCAGCCGCGGUAAUACGGAGGGUGCUAGCGUUAAUCAGAAUUACUGGGCGUAAAGAGCACGUAGGUGGUUUUUUAAGUCAGAUGUGAAAUCCCUGGGCUUAACCUAGGAACUGCAUUUUGAAACUGAAAUACUAGAGUAUCGUAGAGGGAGGUAGAAUUCUAGGCGUAGCGGUGAAAUGCGUAGAUAUCUGGAGGAAUACCUGUGGCGAAAGCGGCCUCCUAAACGAAUACUGACACUGAGGUGCGAAAGCGUGGGGAGCAAACAGGGAUUAGAUACC